UAACUAGCAUUUGUUGAUUUGUUUG
rnacentral:piRNA from 1 species